GACUUGUAUAAAACCGCCAAUCCACCGCAGCGCACGGAGAGACUACGCACGUGCGUCAAGCUUCGCUUUGUAAGAAAAUAUAUUAUGUGACUGUGUCCACUGCAACCCUCGGACACGCUACGCACGAAUUGACUCACGUAGCUUGCUCUAAUAUGGUGCACACGCA